GUGGCCGCCAUCCUCCAAGUCCAUUGGUCGAUGAGAAAGAUGACAGAGAAAGGAGGCGAGGCCAGGCAGCAGCGCGUCCAGGUGGGUGUGAGGCGUCACAAGGAAAGCUGAGCAGGCAAUUGCUGCCCCGCCCACUCUGGGAAGAGGGGCGGGGCCGCCCGCUCCAGAGGGACGGAAGCGGCGGGGCCGCCGGAUCCAGGGACAAUGGGGUGGGGCGGGCUUUCCCUGGGUGGGCGCAGCGGCUUCCUGGGUCCCCCUCACGCUCUGGGUCAGAGUUCCUUUACAGGCGGACCUGAGAGGCAACUCACCGACUCCUGCCCUGGACCCUCCUGCGCCACUGAACCCCCUGACCUGGGAGCCUCGGAACCUAGGGCUCAGGAGAGCGGCCGUGGGUCCCAUCAGGCUUUCCCCUCGGAUCCUCUGCAGAUGAACCAGGACUUAUCCGAAGGUACCAAGUGAACUUCUAGGAAAAGUCCAAUUCUCAGAUGCUGGAUGUCUUCCAAAAAUGAAGCAAAUUAGUAACUUAGUAGCUGAGUCAACUAAUCCUGUUAGAUGGUCAACACUGGUUUUUUUAUUUUAAUAUUUUUAAGUGGCAACUCUAGUGUGUGAGAAAAUUAAUGUGACAGCUGAAUUUGUAGAAAGCUGCUUUGACUCUCUUGGGCCCCUUCAUAAGCCCUGGAACUAAAUAAAAGUCUAGUGAAUACAGAGAACUUCCAGCAGCUGUUUACCUGGAAACAAGUUGAAAAUGUAUUUGAAAUGGAAGCCACUAGAAUUGUAAACACUUCUGUCAUCUUUCUCCUUUGUGUGCCUCUGCAGAUAAGGCUGCUCCAGUGCCCCCAAAUUUGGACCUUAUGCUCUGUAGUUUCCUGUUAUAACCAAUUUGCUAUUUGUGUUACCAAAGUAUAUUUAGUAGAUUUUAUUUGAAAAAAGAAAUAAAGUUAGAAAAUAUUGACAGUAUUACAUAACAUAAGUUCUUUGUUUAAAUUUGUCAUAUUUAAUUUUUGAAAGCUAAAUAACUAAAAUCUCAUUUCUACUAAAUUAUUCUUUUUUUCAUGCUAAGGCUAAAUGUGAGAGCUAACAUUUUACAAAAUUUUGUGUUUUUCUUUCAAAAUACAUGACAAAGCACAAAAGCAUUUUUAUCAGGAUUAAAGUAAUUUAUGGAAAAUCUAACUCUACGACUAUGUAAGUGAU
rnacentral:lncRNA from 1 species